CAGUCGCCGCGGGAAUACGGAGGGUGCAAGCGUUAAUCGGAAUUACUGGGCGUAAAGCGUGCGUAGGCGGUUCGUUAAGUCUGUUGUGAAAGCCCCGGGCUCAACCUGGGAAUGGCAAUGGAUACUGGCGAGCUAGAGUGUGUCAGAGGAUGGUGGAAUUCCCGGUGUAGCGGUGAAAUGCGUAGAUAUGCGGAGGAACACCGAUGGCGAAGGCAGCCCCCUGGGCCAACACUGACGCUCAUGCACGAGAGCGUGGGGAGCAAACAGGAUUAGAUACCCGCGUAGUCCCUGUCUCUUACAC
rnacentral:rRNA from 1 species